rnacentral:rRNA from 1 species
UACAUGGGGUGCAAACGUUGCUCGGAAUUAUUGGGCGUAAAGCGCACGUAGGUGGUCUGUUAUGUCAGAUGUGAAAGCCCUCGGCUUAACUGAGGAAGUGCACCUGAAACUGGCAGGCUUGAGUACGAAAGAGGGUCGCGGAAUUCCCGGUGUAGAGGUGAAAUUCGUAGAUAUUGGGAAGAACACCGGUGGCGAAGUCGGCGCUCUGGACCGAUACUGACGCUGAGGCGCGAAAGCGUGGGGAGCAAACAGG